rnacentral:rRNA from 1 species
UGGGGAAUAUUGGGCAAUGGGCGAAAGCCUGACCCAGCAACGCCGCGUGGAGGAAGAAGGUUUUCGGAUCGUAAACUCCUGUCCUCAGGGAAGAGAAGGAGACGGUACCUGAGGAGGAAGCCCCGGCUAACUACGUGCCAGCAGCCGCGGUAAUACGUAGGUGGCAAGCGUUGUCCGGAAUUAUUGGGCGUAAAGCGCGCGCAGGCGGCUCCUUAAGUCCAUCUUAAAAGUGCGGGGCUUAACCCCGUGAUGGGAUGGAAACUGAGAGGCUGGAGUAUCGGAGAGGAAAGUGGAAUUCCUAGUGUAGCGGUGAAAUGCGUAGAGAUUAGGAAGAACACCGGUGGCGAAGGCGACUUCUGGA